CCUACGGGAGGCAGCAGUAGGGAAUCUUCCACAAUGGGCGAAAGCCUGAUGGAGCAACGCCGCGUGGGUGAAGAAGGUCUUCGGAUCGUAAAACCCUUUUUGUAGAGAAGAAAGUGCGUGAGAGUAACUGUUCACGUUUCGACUGUAUCUAUCCAGAAAGCCACGUCUCACUACGUGCCAGCAGCCGCUGUAAUACGUAGGUGGCAAGCGUGAUCCGGAUUUAUUGGGCGGAAAAGGAACGCAGGCGGUCCUUUAAGUCUGAUGUGAAAGCCUUCGGCUUAAACGGAGUAGUGCAUUGGAAACUGGGAGACUUGAGUGCAGAAGAGGAGAGUGGAAUUCGAUGUGUAGCGGUGAAAUGCGUAGAUAUAUGGAAGAACCCCAGUGGCGAAAGCGGCUCUCUGGUCUGUAACUGACGCUGAGGUUCGAAGGCGUGGGUAGCAAACAGGAUUAGAUACCCUUGUAGUC
rnacentral:rRNA from 1 species